rnacentral:rRNA from 1 species
CCUACGGGAGGCAGCAGUGGGGAAUAUUGCACAAUGGGGGGAACCCUGAUGCAGCGACGCCGCGUGAGUGAAGAAGUAUUUCGGUAUGUAAAGCUCUAUCAGCAGGAACGAGACAAGACGGUACCUGACUAAGAAGCCCCGGCUAACUACGUGCCAGCAGCCGCGGUAAUACGUAGGGGGCAAGCGUUAUCCGGAAUCACUGGGUGAAAAGGGAGCGUAGAGGCUGAGCAAGCCUGAAGUGAAAGGCGGGGGCACAACCCCCGGACUGCUUUGGGAACUGUACGGCUGGAGUGCAGGAGAGGUAAGUGGAAUUCCUAGUGUAGCGGUGAAAUGCGUAGAUAUUAGGAGGAACACCAGUGGCGAAGGCGGCUUACUGGACUGUAACUGACGUUGAGGCUCGAAAGCGUGGGGAGCAAACAGGAUUAGAUACCCGAGUAGUC